GGGUGCAUGUCAGAAUGGUUAUGUGGCGUAUUGCAAAUCCGCUUAUACUGGUUCGAUUCCAGUUGUACCCU
rnacentral:tRNA from 1 species